rnacentral:rRNA from 1 species
GAUAAAUAAAACUAAUAGUUACCAAUCGUGGAAGGAGGUAAGAAGAAUGUAAAUUAAAACAAUACUGAAUAAGGGUCAUAGUGUGUGUGAAAUAAUGUGUUAAAUCAAAUUGUUUUGUUAAUAUAAAAGUUUUGAGUAAAUCUCGUUAUUAAAAUUUAAAUAAAUCAAAUUGUUUUUUUAAAUAGUAUAAGUAGUAUAGAAGUUUAUGUGGUGUUUAAGUACUGUAAAGGAAAUGAUGUUUUGGUAAUUUAAGGAUAGUAGAGGUUAAUCCUCGUACCUUUUGCAUAAUGGGUCGAUGAUUUUUAGUGUUGUAUUACAUGCUCUCGAAGUGAAAGGAUUUACUUAAUAAGUAUAUGUUAACGUUGCAUAGUUAUAUAUUGAUUAUUAAGUGGUAAUGAUAUGUUUAUCGAUUUUCAUGAUAGCUAGUUUAUUAGUGAUUAUAUUUAAGUAUUGUAAUGUUAAUAUGGCGUAAGCCGUUUAACGUUAGUUUAUGUUGUGGGGGAUAAGCUUCAUAUAGAGUUAUAGAGAGUAUUAAAUAUUAUUAGGCAAUUUAAGUAGAAUUAAUAAUGUUUUUCUUUUAAAGUAGUUUAAAUUGAAUGAGUAAAUUGGUUAAGUCUCAUGUUGUAUAACUAAUAAAUACUUAUGAAUUUACAAGUAAGUAAAUAUAAUGUUGAUAUGAGUAUUAGUUGGAAUUCGAUAGUUAAUAUAUUUGAAAAUGUUGUAGUUGCGAAUAGUUUAUAUUAAGAGAAAGUUAAUUAAAGUGAAGGAAUUCGGCAAAUAUUAAUCUCGCCUGUUUAUCAAAAACAUGUCUCUUUGUGAAAUAUAAAUAAAGAGUCGGGCCUGCUCGGUGAAUAAGUUUUUAACAGCUGCGGUAUUUUAACUGUACUAAGGUAGCAUAAUAAUUUGCCUUAUAAUUUGAGGCUAGAAUGAAUGGUUUGACGAAGGUUAAUCUGUCUCCACUUUAUUUUUUAGAAUUUAAUUUUUAAAGUGAAAAAGCUUAAAUUUUUUAAAGGGACGAGAAGACCCUAAUGAGCUUAUAAUUUUAUUAUUGUUGUGCAAAACAUUUGGUCAAUAAUAUAUAAAUUUUAAUUGGGGUGAUUGAGGAAUAAAUUAGAUAAAGUAACUUCCUUAAAUUAAAUAUUUAUAGAUAAAGUAACCAAUAUAAUAUUGCUUAUAAUAUAGUUACCAUAGGGAUAACAGCGUAAUUUGUUUAGAGAGUUCUUAUUGAAAAACGAGAUUGCGACCUCGAUGUUGGAUUAAAGUAACCUUAAGGUGCAGAAGCUUUAGUAAGGUAAAUCUGUUCGAUUUUUAAUACUUUACAUGAUCUGAGUUCAGACCGGCGUGAGCCAGGUUGGUUUCUAUCUUUUAAAAUGGGUGUUGCUUCUUUUAGUACGAGAGGACCAAGGAAUGCUAAAAUUUAUUAUUAUAAU